rnacentral:lncRNA from 1 species
GGGAGAGAGAGGGAUAGUGGGGUAGAAAGAGAGAGAGGGAGAGAGAGAGAGGGAUAGUGGGGUAGAAAGAGAGAGGGAGAGAGAGAGGGAUAGUGGGGUAGAAAGAGAGAGAGGGAGAGAGAGAGGAAUAGUGGGGUAGAAAGAGAGAGAGGGAGAGAGAGAGAGGGAUAGUGGGGUAGAAAGAGAGAGAGGGAGAGAGAGAGGAAUAGUGGGGUAGAAAGAGAGAGAGGGAGAGAGAGAGAGGGAUAGUGGGGUAGAAAGAGAGAGAGGGAGACCUCGGGGGGCACAUCAUUCUCUUCUCAUGGUAGUAUGAGCACCCCCUCCCUUCCCCUGUUCUUUACCCCCUGGCACCCUACAUGUUCUUUAUCAUCACAUACACAGACACAUGCACACACGCUCAGGAAAGGUUUUAUGUGGUAGUAGUGACUCAUCAGAGAGACUCAGGAAAGGUUUUAUGUGGUAGUAGUGUCUCAUCAGAUAGACUCAGGAAAGGUUUUAUGUGGUAGUAGUGACUCAUCAGAGAGACUCAGGAAAGGUUUUAUGUGGUAGUAGUGACUCAUCAGAUAGACUCAGGAAAGGUUUUAUGUGGUAGUAGUGACUCAUCAGAUAGACUCAGGAAAGGUUUUAUGUGGUAGUAGUGUCUCAUCAGAGAGACUCAGGAAAGGUUUCAUAUGGUAGAAGUGACUCAUCGGGGGAGACUCAGGAAAGGUUUUAUGUGGCAGUACGGUUUAAUGCGUCCUGGUAGAGAGUUAUGACUGUAAUAUUCAUUCUGCUUGAUAAAUGUCAUCGAACAUUUUUAUUUCGUCGAUUGCCUUCGAUAAAUCUCCCUGUGAUUAAACUGAGCACAGAUAGCACUUAAAAGGCAAUUCCAAACUUAGAUGACAUUCUGUGUGAUGUAGUUAAUAUCAGGUGUCUGUGUAUCCCAAAUGGAACCCUAUUCCCUUUAUAGAGCACUACUUUAGACCAGGUCCUAUAGGGUAGUACACUACUUUAGACCAGGGCCUAUAGGGUAGUGCACUACUUUAGACCAGGUCAUAUAGAGUAGUACACUACUUUAGACCAGGUCCUAUAGGGUAGUGGAAUACUUUAGCCCAGGCCCUAUAGGGUAGUGGACUACUUUAGACCAGGGCCUAU